GGGUCAGUAGGUCGGUCGUGCCACCGGUACGUACUGGUCUCACUGAUUCCUCCUUCCUGAAGAACCGUAAUGCCAUUAAUUUGGUGUUGCGGGGAAACAGGACUGUUACUUUGAAAAAAUUAGAGUGUUUAAAGCAAGCUAACGCUUGAAUACAUUAGCAUGGAAUAAUGAAAUAGGACGAUCGAUCCUAUUUUGUUGGUCUCUAGGAUUGACGUA
rnacentral:rRNA from 1 species